GGCUUACACAGCAACCAGUUUCCAUUACCAGACCAGUUGGGAAAACUGCAAAGUUCAAGUGUGAAGUUGAAGGAGUAUCUGUUAUUAGCCAAGGUCUUCACUGGUAUCAUCAGGACCGCACCAAAAAUAUAAAGUGGCUACUAUUUUAUAAGCCCACCCUUAGUCAGAUUCCAAAUGAGUAUCAAACCAGAAUGUCCUUGGAUACAGAGACAGACAGUUUGUGCACCCUAAGUAUCACUAACAUUCAAGUAAUCGAUGAUGGUACUUAUUUGUGUGCAGCUUGGCACACCAA